rnacentral:rRNA from 1 species
UGAUGCUUGCAUCUUUUAAAGAGUUGAGUGGGGAACGGGUGAGUAACACGUGGGUAACCUACCUUAAAGUGGGGGAUAACACUUGGAAACAGGUGCUAAUACCGCAUAACCAUCAAAACCGCCUGGUUUUGAUGUUAAAGAUGGUUCUGCUAUCGCUUUAAGAUGGACCCGCGGCGUAUUAGCUAGUUGGUGAGGUAACGGCUUACCAAGGCAAUGAUACGUAGCCGAACUGAGAGGUUGAUCGGCCACAUUGGGACUGAGACACGGCCCAAACUCCUACGGGUGGCAGCAGUAGGGAAUCUUCCACAAUGGACGAAAGUCUGAUGGAGCAACGCCGCGUGAGUGAAGAAGGUUUUCGGAUCGUAAAACUCUGUUGUCAGAGAAGAACGUGUGUGAGAGUAACUGUUCACGCAGUGACGGUAUCUGACCAGAAAGUCACGGCUAACUACGUGCCAGCAGCCGCGGUAAUACGUAGGUGGCAAGCGUUGUCCGGAUUUAUUGGGCGUAAAGGGAACGCAGGCGGUCUUUUAAGUCUGAUGUGAAAGCCUUCGGCUUAACCGAAGUCGGGCAUUGGAAACUGGGAGACUUGAGUGCAGAAGAGGAGAGUGGAACUCCAUGUGUAGCGGUGAAAUGCGUAGAUAUAUGGAAGAACACCAGUGGCGAAAGCGGCUCUCUGGUCUGUAACUGACGCUGAGGUUCGAAAGCGUGGGU